GUGACCUCAAAUCAGGUAGGACUACCCGCUGAACUUAAGCAUAUCAAUAAGCGGAGGAAAAGAAACUAACAAGGAUUCCCCUAGUAACUGCGAGUGAAGCGGGAAAAGCUCAAAUUUAAAAUCUGGCAGUCUUUGGCUGUCCGAGUUGUAAUCUAGAGAAGUGCUAUCCGCGCUGGACCGUGUACAAGUCUCCUGGAAUGGAGCGUCAUAGAGGGUGAGAAUCCCGUCNUUGACACGGACUACCAGGGCUUUGUGAUGUGCUCUCAAAGAGUCGAGUUGUUUGGGAAUGCAGCUCAAAAUGGGUGGUAAAUUCCAUCUAAAGCUAAAUAUUGGCGAGAGACCGAUAGCGAACAAGUACCGUGAGGGAAAGAUGAAAAGAACUUUGGAAAGAGAGUUAAACAGUACGUGAAAUUGCUGAAAGGGAAACGCUUGAAGUCAGUCGCGUUGUCCAGGGAUCAACCUUGCUUUUGCUUGGUGCACUUCCUGGUUGACGGGUCAGCAUCAAUUUUGACUGUUGGAAAAAGAUCAAGGGAAUGUGGCAUCUCUGGAUGUGUUAUAGCCCUUGGUUGCAUACAAUGGUUGGGAUUGAGGAACUCAGCACGCCGCAAGGCCGGGUGU
rnacentral:rRNA from 1 species